AAGCAGAGAUUAAGCCUCGUACCUUUUGCAUCAUGACUUAGCUAGUACUCUCAAGCAAAGAGCACCUUUAGUUUGACACCCCGAAACUAAUGUGAGCUACUCCAAGCCAGCCUAUUUAUAGGGCAAACCCGUCUCUGUGGCAAAAGAGUGGGAAGAGCUUUGAGUAGAGGUGACAGACCUACCGAACUUAGUUAUAGCUGGUUGCCUGAGAACUGGAUACAAGUUCAGCCUCCCGGCUCCUCCAUUCAUUUACUAUUCAAAUGACUACUUCUAGAUGAAAAGGAACCCGCGAGAGUUAGUCAAAGGAGGUACAGCUCCUUUGAAUCAAAAUACAAUUUUACAAGAAGGGUAAAGAUCAUAAUUUUAAUAAGGCAAAAUGUUCUGGUGGGCCUAAGAGCAGCCAUCCCAAUUAGAAAGCGUUAAAGCUCGGACAUACUUUCCGCCCCAUAUCCCGAUAACCUAAUCUUAACCCCCUAACUCUAUCAGGCCGUCCCAUGCAAACAUGGAAGCGACCAUGCUAAUAUGAGUAACAAGAGGGCCAACUUGCGCCCCUCUCCUAGCACACGUGUACAUCGAAACGGACUUACCACCGAAAAUUAACGGCCCCAAACAAAGAGGGAAGUGAAAGAUAAAUAUGAUAUACUAGAAAUCCAUCCAAUACAUAACCGUUAACCCCACACCGGUGUGCCCGAAGGAAAGACUAAAAGAAAAAGAAGGAACUCGGCAAACACAAGCCUCGCCUGUUUACCAAAAACAUCGCCUCUUGUAUAACCAUAAUCAACAAAUAAGAGGUCA
rnacentral:rRNA from 1 species